GCCGGGAUGCUGGAAUUGGUAGACAGGCUGCCUUGAGGAGGCAGUGCUCUUAAAAAAGGCGUGCAGGUUCGAGUCCUGUUCCCGGCACAA
rnacentral:tRNA from 3 species